rnacentral:rRNA from 1 species
AUUGAACGCUGGCGGCAGGCUUAACACAUGCAAGUCGAGCGGGGAAGGGUAGCUUGCUACCUGACCUAGCGGCGGACGGGUGAGUAAUGCUUAGGAAUCUGCCUAUUAGUGGGGGACAACAUUCCGAAAGGAAUGCUAAUACCGCAUACGCCCUACGGGGGAAAGGCAGGGGAGUCUUCGGACCUUGCGCUAAUAGAUGAGCCUAAGUCAGAUUAGCUAGUUGGUGGGGUAAAGGCCUACCAAGGCGACGAUCUGUAGCGGGUCUGAGAGGAUGAUCCGCCACACUGGGACUGAGACACGGCCCAGACUCCUACGGGAGGCAGCAGUGGGGAAUAUUGGACAAUGGGCGAAAGCCUGAUCCAGCCAUGCCGCGUGUGUGAAGAAGGCCUUUUGGUUGUAAAGCACUUUAAGCGAGGAGGAGGCUACUUGGAUUAAUACUCUAGGAUAGUGGACGUUACUCGCAGAAUAAGCAACCGGCUAACUCUGUGCCAGCAGCCGC